CGUACACUCCUGCGGGAGGCAGCAGUGGGGAAUAUUGCACAAUGGGCGCAAGCCUGAUGCAGCCAUGCCGCGUGUAUGAAGAAGGCCUUCGGGUUGUAAAGUACUUUCAGCGGGGAGGAAGGCGAUAAGGUUAAUAACCUUGUUGAUUGACGUUACCCGCAGAAGAAGCACCGGCUAACUCCGUGCCAGCAGCCGCGGUAAUACGGAGGGUGCAAGCGUUAAUCGGAAUUACUGGGCGUAAAGCGCACGCAGGCGGUCUGUCAAGUCGGAUGUGAAAUCCCCGGGCUCAACCUGGGAACUGCAUUCGAAACUGGCAGGCUAGAGUCUUGUAGAGGGGGGUAGAAUUCCAGGUGUAGCGGUGAAAUGCGUAGAGAUCUGGAGGAAUACCGGUGGCGAAGGCGGCCCCCUGGACAAAGACUGACGCUCAGGUGCGAAAGCGUGGGGAGCAAACAGGAUUAGAUACCCGGGUAGUCCC
rnacentral:rRNA from 1 species